rnacentral:rRNA from 1 species
CCCUUAGAUGUUCUGGGCUGCACGCGCGCUACACUGACGCACGCAACAGGUGCCUGCUCCGAGAGGACUGGGUAAUCAUUUGAGUAUGCGUCGUGAUGGGGAUAGAAUAUUGUAAUUAUUACUCUUCAACGAGGAAUUCCUAGUAAGCGCCAGUCAGCAGCUUGCGCUGAUUACGUCCCUGCCCUUUGUACACACCGCCCGUCGCUCCUACCGAUGGGUGAUCCGGUGAAUGAUUCGGACUUCAGCGGCUCCCCUGGGGUGCGCCGGAGAAAGUUUUGUGAACCUUAUCACUUGGAGGAAGGAGAAGUCGUAACA